rnacentral:piRNA from 1 species
UGGAAUGCAUGUAGUAGGCCU